ACAUGCAAGUCGAGCGAACAGAAGGGAGCUUGCUCCCGGAUGUUAGCGGCGGACGGGUGAGUAACACGUGGGUAACCUGCCUGUAAGACUGGGAUAACUCCGGGAAACCGGAGCUAAUACCGGAUAGUUCCUUGAACCGCAUGGUUCAAGGAUGAAAGACGGUUUCGGCUGUCACUUACAGAUGGACCCGCGGCGCAUUAGCUAGUUGGUGGGGUAAUGGCUCACCAAGGCGACGAUGCGUAGCCGACCUGAGAGGGUGAUCGGCCACACUGGGACUGAGACACGGCCCAGACUCCUACGGGAGGCAGCAGUAGGGAAUCUUCCGCAAUGGACGAAAGUCUGACGGAGCAACGCCGCGUGAGUGAUGAAGGUUUUCGGAUCGUAAAGCUCUGUUGUUAGGGAAGAACAAGUGCGAGAGUAACUGCUCGCACCUUGACGGUACCUAACCAGAAAGCCACGGCUAACUACGUGCCAGCAGCCGCGGUAAUACGUAGGUGGCAAGCGUUGUCCGGAAUUAUUGGGCGUAAAGGGCUCGCAGGCGGUUUCUUAAGUCUGAUGUGAAAGCCCCCGGCUCAACCGGGGAGGGUCAUUGGAAACUGGGAAACUUGAGUGCAGAAGAGGAGAGUGGAAUUCCACGUGUAGCGGUGAAAUGCGUAGAGAUGUGGAGGAACACCAGUGGCGAAGGCGACUCUCUGGUCUGUAACUGACGCUGAGGAGCGAAAGCGUGGGGAGCGAACAGGAUUAGAUACCCUGGUAGUCCACGCCGUAAACGAUGAGUGCUAAGUGUUAGGGGGUUUCCGCCCCUUAGUGCUGCAGCUAACGCAUUAAGCACUCCGCCUGGGGAGUACGGUCGCAAGACUGAAACUCAAAGGAAUUGACGGGGGCCCGCACAAGCGGUGGAGCAUGUGGUUUAAUUCGAAGCAACGCGAAGAACCUUACCAGGUCUUGACAUCCUCUGACAACCCUAGAGAUAGGGCUUUCCCUUCGGGGACAGAGUGACAGGUGGUGCAUGGUUGUCGUCAGCUCCGUGUCGUGAGAUGUUGGGUUAAGUCC
rnacentral:rRNA from 1 species